CUCCACUGGGACUGUCCCCAAGGGUCACCUGUGGGUGAGGACGGCAUUGCUGACAGACAUCCAGAAGUUGGGGCCACAGGCUGGCAGAUUGGGAAGACGUGGAUGCCAGCCCCCAGUGUCCCUGAGGAGGGUGGUGCCCACCUCCCAGAGACCACAGCUCUGUGCCGUCUGCCCGGAGAUCGGCACUCCUCUGCAGAAACCUUGGCCCAGGUCCCAGGUGGAGACAAACAGGAACCUCUACCCUCCUCUGCCUGUUAGUACUGGAUGGUGUGAGCGAGGUCCCCCAGCUGCACCACAGCAGGGCAGGAGACAGCAGCCAAAGGACUCGCCCUCACCUGUUCUUUCUGAGACAAAUCAUCUGCCAGGUUUCCGCCUCGGGACACCCAAGCUCAGCACAGACAGCCUAGCAGCCUGGGUGACAGGAUCCCAGGGGACAGGAUUCUCUCCUUGCCAUGGGGAUGAGGACAAAUUCUCCCUUCAUCCUUGAGAUUGGACUCCCGCCACACAUCCUGGAGGAGCCUACAGAGAAGCCGGCAGGUCUCCCUCACCUGGAUGGUGCCAGCGGGUGGCCUGGACCACCCAGAGGCCCUCUCCUGCACCUGACAGGAAGCCCCUGGGGCAUACGUCUCCCCUGCCACUUCCACUGUGGCCACUGGAAGUGUGGCAGAGAAAAUAGCUAGGACAAAAAGAAGUCAAUGAUUUCAACCAACGGAAUUUCUUUGUCCUUUGUAAAAAUCAACACAUGAUCUGUUACUGAUUGGGAUGUGAAAUAAAACUAAAAAUAACAGCACACUGAGCCUGGCUCAGGGCUCAGCUCACCUUUACCACGGUCCAAGUUCAGUUUAUCAGAUCCCAAGGAGCAGCUAAGCAGCAAGUCAAACACAGGUGAGGGUGGAGGGCGGAGGGCGGAGCGGGGAGGGGGCUCUGGCCCUCUGCGUGCCCCCACCAACCCCCAGGUAGAGAACCAGCCAGCUCACCAGGGAGUGUGGCCAAGCAAGAAGCUAUACACAGAAUUCUGAGCCCACACCCUAAUCUGCCUCAGGUGGGGAGGCCACUCACUUCCCUUUUUGCCUCAGUUUCCCCACUGGGGUUACCAGGGUCUUCUGGCACAUUCCCUUGUUUUAAGGAACGGUGGAAGAGGGGUCCCCUUGAGAUCAGGUUAAGCUGUGAAACAUCCUGCCAGCGCCACAGGCCACUGGGUCCUGGAAGGUCAGGCCACAAAGACC
rnacentral:lncRNA from 10 species